ACAAAAAUAAAAUAAAAAUAAGGAAGGGACCACCCAGCAUCGGGCUGGUGUGCCUUGCUCGCGGCCCCCACCUUCUCGUAUGAGGUCGCCAGCUAGCUCAUCGGGGAGGUGGUGCAACCCGACUCAUCGAGUUCGCUAGAGGACGCUCUACUCGUCGGCGACCUGGAUGAGGGGUAUUGGUGGUCGGCGGGGCCACCAGCCCCCAAAUCAAACGAAAAAAUAUAAUCCCCUGCUAUGAUGGUUGCCGAUCCCUUAUAGCCAUGGCUGCCAAUCCCGUGCUACUCCAGCAAUAACCUCCUUGCUCAUUCACCUUCUUCUUCAUUUUCUCCUUCCCUGUCUCCCUCUGCCAAGUAGUGAUCGAUCACCCUUUCUUCUUCUUUGACUCGAGAGCAAUUGGGGGAGGGUCCUCAUGUAGACGGAUUUGGACGUCUGGCAGCGCCUUCGGUUUCAGCGAGACUCUAAGAGAGAGAAAGAGAGAAAAACCAGUAGAGAGAGAAAGGUAGUUGAAAGAGGGAGAAGACAGAUGUUUUUUUUCCCUUUUUUUUGGUUGUUUUUAAGUUACUUUAAUUUUUUUUUUAUAUAUUUUAAUUACAGGUGAAAAAGUUUUGAUGAUGUUAAUGUCCACAUUAGCAUCGAUUAAUGAUCGGUCACGAUUUGAACCAUAAUUGUUUGACGGAGCAGAUAU